rnacentral:rRNA from 1 species
UACAGGGGGGGCAAGCGUUGUUCGGAAUUACUGGGCGUAAAGGGCUCGUAGGUGGCCAACUAAGUCAGACGUGAAAUCCCUCAGCUUAACUGGGGAACUGCGUCUGAUACUGGAUGGCUUGAGUUUGGGAGAGGGGCGUGGAAUUCCGGGUGUAGUGGUGAAAUGCGUAGAGAUCCGGAGGAACCCCAGAGGCGAAGGCGGCGCCCUGGCUCGCAACUGACGCUCAGACACGACAGCAUGGGGAGCGAACGGG